rnacentral:rRNA from 1 species
UACAGAGGGUGCAAGCGUUAAUCGGAAUUACUGGGCGUAAAGCGUGCGUAGACGGUUACAUAAGUCGGGUGUGAAAGCCCCGGGCUCAACCUGGGAAUUGCAUUCGAGACUGCGUAGCUAGGGUGCGGUAGAGGGAAGUGGAAUUUCCGGUGUAGCGGUGAAAUGCGUAGAUAUCGGAAGGAACAUCAGUGGCGAAAGCGACUUCCUGGACCAGUACCGACGUUCAGGCACGAAAGCGUGGGGAGCAAACAGG